GGGUUGUGAGGUUAAGCGACUAAGCGUACACGGUGGAUGCCCUGGCAGUCAGAGGCGAUGAAGGACGUGCUAAUCUGCGAUAAGCGUCGGUAAGGUGAUAUGAACCGUUAUAACCGGCGAUUUCCGAAUGGGGAAACCCAGUGUGUUUCGACACACUAUCAUUAACUGAAUCCAUAGGUUAAUGAGGCGAACCGGGGGAACUGAAACAUCUAAGUACCCCGAGGAAAAGAAAUCAACCGAGAUUCCCCCAGUAGCGGCGAGCGAACGGGGAGCAGCCCAGAGCCUGAAUCAGUGUGUGUGUUAGUGGAAGCGUCUGGAAAGGCGCGCGAUACAGGGUGACAGCCCCGUACACAAAAAUGCACAUGCUGUGAGCUCGAUGAGUAGGGCGGGACACGUGGUAUCCUGUCUGAAUAUGGGGGGACCAUCCUCCAAGGCUAAAUACUCCUGACUGACCGAUAGUGAACCAGUACCGUGAGGGAAAGGCGAAAAGAACCCCGGCGAGGGGAGUGAAAAAGAACCUGAAACCGUGUACGUACAAGCAGUGGGAGCACGCUUAGGCGUGUGACUGCGUACCUUUUGUAUAAUGGGUCAGCGACUUAUAUUCUGUAGCAAGGUUAACCGAAUAGGGGAGCCGAAGGGAAACCGAGUCUUAACUGGGCGUUAAGUUGCAGGGUAUAGACCCGAAACCCGGUGAUCGAGCCAUGGGCAGGUUGAAGGUUGGGUAACACUAACUGGAGGACCGAACCGACUAAUGUUGAAAAAUUAGCGGAUGACUUGUGGCUGGGGGUGAAAGGCCAAUCAAACCGGGAGAUAGCUGGUUCUCCCCGAAAGCUAUUUAGGUAGCGCCUCGUGAAUUCAUCUCCGGGGGUAGAGCACUGUUUCGGCAAGGGGGUCAUCCCGACUUACCAACCCGAUGCAAACUGCGAAUACCGGAGAAUGUUAUCACGGGAGACACACGGCGGGUGCUAACGUCCGUCGUGAAGAGGGAAACAACCCAGACCGCCAGCUAAGGUCCCAAAGUCAUGGUUAAGUGGGAAACGAUGUGGGAAGGCCCAGACAGCCAGGAUGUUGGCUUAGAAGCAGCCAUCAUUUAAAGAAAGCGUAAUAGCUCACUGGUCGAGUCGGCCUGCGCGGAAGAUGUAACGGGGCUAAACCAUGCACCGAAGCUGCGGCAGCGACACUAUGUGUUGUUGGGUAGGGGAGCGUUCUGUAAGCCUGUGAAGGUGUGCUGUGAGGCAUGCUGGAGGUAUCAGAAGUGCGAAUGCUGACAUAAGUAACGAUAAAGCGGGUGAAAAGCCCGCUCGCCGGAAGACCAAGGGUUCCUGUCCAACGUUAAUCGGGGCAGGGUGAGUCGACCCCUAAGGCGAGGCCGAAAGGCGUAGUCGAUGGGAAACAGGUUAAUAUUCCUGUACUUGGUGUUACUGCGAAGGGGGGACGGAGAAGGCUAUGUUGGCCGGGCGACGGUUGUCCCGGUUUAAGCGUGUAGGCUGGUUUUCCAGGCAAAUCCGGAAAAUCAAGGCUGAGGCGUGAUGACGAGGCACUACGGUGCUGAAGCAACAAAUGCCCUGCUUCCAGGAAAAGCCUCUAAGCAUCAGGUAACAUCAAAUCGUACCCCAAACCGACACAGGUGGUCAGGUAGAGAAUACCAAGGCGCUUGAGAGAACUCGGGUGAAGGAACUAGGCAAAAUGGUGCCGUAACUUCGGGAGAAGGCACGCUGAUAUGUAGGUGAAGUCCCUCGCGGAUGGAGCUGAAAUCAGUCGAAGAUACCAGCUGGCUGCAACUGUUUAUUAAAAACACAGCACUGUGCAAACACGAAAGUGGACGUAUACGGUGUGACGCCUGCCCGGUGCCGGAAGGUUAAUUGAUGGGGUUAGCCGCAAGGCGAAGCUCUUGAUCGAAGCCCCGGUAAACGGCGGCCGUAACUAUAACGGUCCUAAGGUAGCGAAAUUCCUUGUCGGGUAAGUUCCGACCUGCACGAAUGGCGUAAUGAUGGCCAGGCUGUCUCCACCCGAGACUCAGUGAAAUUGAACUCGCUGUGAAGAUGCAGUGUACCCGCGGCAAGACGGAAAGACCCCGUGAACCUUUACUAUAGCUUGACACUGAACAUUGAGCCUUGAUGUGUAGGAUAGGUGGGAGGCUUAGAAGUGUGGACGCCAGUCUGCAUGGAGCCGACCUUGAAAUACCACCCUUUAAUGUUUGAUGUUCUAACGUUGACCCGUAAUCCGGGUUGCGGACAGUGUCUGGUGGGUAGUUUGACUGGGGCGGUCUCCUCCUAAAGAGUAACGGAGGAGCACGAAGGUUGGCUAAUCCUGGUCGGACAUCAGGAGGUUAGUGCAAUGGCAUAAGCCAGCUUGACUGCGAGCGUGACGGCGCGAGCAGGUGCGAAAGCAGGUCAUAGUGAUCCGGUGGUUCUGAAUGGAAGGGCCAUCGCUCAACGGAUAAAAGGUACUCCGGGGAUAACAGGCUGAUACCGCCCAAGAGUUCAUAUCGACGGCGGUGUUUGGCACCUCGAUGUCGGCUCAUCACAUCCUGGGGCUGAAGUAGGUCCCAAGGGUAUGGCUGUUCGCCAUUUAAAGUGGUACGCGAGCUGGGUUUAGAACGUCGUGAGACAGUUCGGUCCCUAUCUGCCGUGGGCGCUGGAGAACUGAGGGGGGCUGCUCCUAGUACGAGAGGACCGGAGUGGACGCAUCACUGGUGUUCGGGUUGUCAUGCCAAUGGCACUGCCCGGUAGCUAAAUGCGGAAGAGAUAAGUGCUGAAAGCAUCUAAGCACGAAACUUGCCCCGAGAUGAGUUCUCCCUGACUCCUUGAGAGUCCUGAAGGAACGUUGAAGACGACGACGUUGAUAGGCCGGGUGUGUAAGCGCAGCGAUGCGUUGAGCUAACCGGUACUAAUGAACCGUGAGGCUUAACCUUACAACGCCGAAGGUGUUU
rnacentral:rRNA from 1 species